CCUACGGGGCGCAGCAGUGAGGAAUAUUGGUCAAUGGACGAGAGUCUGAACCAGCCAAGUAGCGUGAAGGAUGACUGCCCUAUGGGUUGUAAACUUCUUUUAUAUGGGAAUAAAAUGUUCCACGUGUGGGAUUUUGUAUGUACCAUAUGAAUAAGGAUCGGCUAACUCCGUGCCAGCAGCCGCGGUAAUACGGAGGAUCCGAGCGUUAUCCGGAUUUAUUGGGUUUAAAGGGAGCGUAGGUGGAUUGUUAAGUCAGUUGUGAAAGUUUGCGGCUCAACCGUAAAAUUGCAGUUGAAACUGGCAGUCUUGAGUACAGUAGAGGUGGGCGGAAUUCGUGGUGUAGCGGUGAAAUGCUUAGAUAUCACGAAGAACUCCGAUUGCGUAGGCAGUUCACUGGACUGCAACUGACACUGAGGCUCGAAAGUGUGGGUAUCAAACAGGAUUAGAUACCCCUGUAGUC
rnacentral:rRNA from 1 species